CCCGGGCCUUGUACACACCGCCCGUCACACCACGAAAGUCGGCAAUACCCGAAGCCGGUGGCCUAACCCGCAUGGGAGGGAGCCGUCGAAGGUAGGGUCGAUGAUUGGGGUG
rnacentral:rRNA from 1 species